UGGCUAUAGAAGCAAACUCUGAUAAUAGCCCUAUAAAAAUCAUGGGUGCUGAAGCUGCAAAAUAUAGAUGUGAUGUUGCAUAUCAGAAUUGUAUGGAUGAAGUAGCUGUAACAUUUGGAGCCUAGUAAGUGAAAAAAUAUAUCCAGGUAAAACGAAACGAGAUUUUCUGGUGCAAAAAUGACGAUUUGCAUAUAUAAAUUGAAGGGAAAAGAAUAAAUUAUAGAUUUUAGACGAUAUUAAUAAUAAAAAGUAAA